GGUCCCGAACUUUUCAUCCAUUCCAGUUUUUAUCCCUUCACGUCCGGCCUCAUCCCCUCACUCUCUCACAGCUCACUUAUCUCACCGAAUACUCUGUUUCUCUCCCCAACCUUACCUCUUCUCUCCCUGGCACACGGUGGCUUCCUCGGCAUAGGGGCGGCGAGCUCCUCGACGCAGGGGUGCAGGGUCCGCGGGGGCCUCGCCCUGCUCCUGCUCACCACACUUGUCGUCUACCACAGGUACAUCAUAUUUGCGCUCGGUUGUGGCGGUUGUGGCGUCGCCAUGGACGCCCCCGCACGAGGCUCCCGCCGGGCCACAUGGGCUUGCCCAAUUCUGCCGGCCCGCCGACGACACAGGCACGCACAGAUCUGCAGCCACCUUCACCAGAUCUGCCCAUCUCCAAACUCUCUGUGUCAACACAGCCUCCAAGCUCGUCAUCUUGAGCGCCAAUCAAUUCCUGUGAAGAGGUGAGCAGGACCGGUGGCUUGCCCCUCCGCAGGAUCUGUAUAGGUAGUGAUUUAUUUGUGCAACUCCAUAUUUUUCCACCGUCAAGGUUCUGUCUUAGCGAUUUGGUAAUUUGCAGAUGUUUUUCCAUCCUAGAUGUUUUCCCCCAUCCUAACAGUUGCUUUCAAGCUGCAGGUAUACGAUAGAUUUCAUAAAUUGACUAGGCUGUAGUUCCUCAACAAGGCCUGAACACUUAGUGUUCAAUGUUUCUGGCUUUUCUUUCAAAUGUGGCAUGCGGCUGGCAGCGGCUGGGUAUGGCGUGUCCUCUGGGAUCGAUUACAAGGGACACGGCAAAUCCAUGGAGGCUUUGCAGUUUGGUUCAAGACAGGGAUAGGGACAAGGUGAUUUUGGUUCAGGACAAGACACAAAAGAAAGAAUUCAGUGAUGAUCUCAUAGUAAGAUGCUUCAGUUCAGUUCCAAUAUUGAAUGUAGAGAUAUUCCUUUUCUACUGUUACAAUUGGUAAUGCAAUUUGGAUAAGCAAUUUUGAGUGACCAGAUUCAGUUGUAAAUAUGCUCUAGAUUCUAAGCUGUGUUUGGGUGUAAAUAUCUGUUCUGAAACUGCAGAUUGUGCAGUGUGUUUGGUUACCAGCAAAUCUCAACAACUUACUUUUUACUACUCUACUGCAGAUUGAGUGUAAAUAUUUAUGCAAAGUUUGGACCACCA